UACGUAGGGAGCGAGCGUUGUUCGGAUUUAUUGGGCGUAAAGAGCGCGUAGGCGGUGCUCCAAGUCUGGUGUGAAAUCUCCCGGCUCAACUGGGAGGGUGCGCCGGAAACUGGAAUGCUAGAGGGUGGGAGAGGUAAGCGGAAUUCCUGGUGUAGCGGUGAAAUGCGUAGAUAUCAGGAGGAACACCUGUGGUGUAGACAGCUUACUGGACCGCUUCUGACGCUGAGGCGCGAAAGCGUGGGUAGCAAACAGG
rnacentral:rRNA from 1 species